rnacentral:misc_RNA from 1 species
CUGGAAAUCUGGGCAUAAGUCAAAAUGCAAGGAUUUUGUCAGGGUAAAUUCAACACAAAAUUCAAAAUCCAGCUUUGGAUUAAAAGCGUCAGGUAUUGAGGGUGGAGCUUUUUCUGGCAUUGCGCUGGUUCCUGCCAAUGGGACCACUAAGCUUAUAAAGAAGCCAAGAAAGGUUCUUUUCUCCUAUGAUGACUUCAUUAAACUUUACUACUGGGACAAGGCAGCAUUCCC